GACGAACGCUGGCGGCGUGCUUAACACAUGCAAGUCGAACGAGUGGCGAACGGGUGAGUAAUACGUGAGUAACCUGCCCCCUUUUUGGGAUAAGCCUUGGAAACGGGGUCUAAUACCGGAUAAUGGGGGAUGGGCUCGCGGCCUAUUAGCUUGUUGGUGGGGUGAUGGCCUACCAAGGCGGUGACGGGUAGCCGGGCUGAGAGGGUGACCGGGGACAUUGAGACGGAGAUACGGCCUAGAGGCGUACGAGAGGGAGAAGUGGGGGAUAUUGCACAAUGGGCGAAGGCCUGAUGCAGCGACGCUGAGUGAGGGCUGAGGGCUUUAGGGUUGUAAACCUCUUUCGCAAGGGAACCGGUAGGUGGAGAAGAAGCGCCGGCUAACUACGUGCCAGCAGCCGCGGUAAUAC
rnacentral:rRNA from 1 species